rnacentral:lncRNA from 1 species
UAUGAGAACUAUGCUAUGUUGAUAGUUGCAUACGGACGCAUUGAAACCAUAUGUUAGUGGAUAGAUGCAUGUUAAUAUUUAUAUGCAUUGUGGAAUACAUGCUAGGUACAUAUUAGCAAUGUGAGAUCAUGCUAGAGAGCAUGCGUAUUAACCUAUUAUUGAUAGGGUAAGCUAAUGUCAUAAAGAGGCAUUGGGCUUGGAAUUGGUAUAUUAAGCUAAUGUCAUAAAGCGACAUUGAGCUUGGGACAUGUAUGAACCUAGUAAAUAAUGCCUUAAAAAGGCAUGAAAAUUGGAACAUGCUUAGAUAUAGUAAUAUUUUAGUGCCCUAAAGAGGCACUAGACAUAGUGAAUGUUGGAACUUCACUUGGGGAUAUUAAACUAGACCUAUGAGUUGCUAGCGAUCAUUUCCAUGGUUGAGCCAUGAUGACCGGAUCGUCGUGACCAUGACUAUGCUUGCUCGCUCGUGCGGUAUUGAGAAGCCUACGGGGGCUUGGAGGGUUAGACUCAUUCCUCGAGGGGGAAUGCUGGAGCUACCACUGGCACUUAGGCGGCACAAGCCGGCACUCCGGAGUUAGCCUACACUACUUAUGCUCGCUCGUGCGGUAUUGAGAAGCCUACGGGGGCCUGGAGGGUUAGACUCAUUCCUCGAGGGGGAAUGCUGGAGCUACCACUGGCACUUAGGCGGCUCAAGCCGAACUACACUUGUGUAGGUCCUAAAACAAGAUUGAACAAUGACAUUAAACCGGUGUAU